ACAUUAACAGUCCUAACAUAAAGUCAGCUUUGUUGAUGCUAUAAACCCCAACCGACGGAAACCCGAGCGCAAAACCGUUCACGACAACCGCAGCCCUAAAGUUCAGCAAGUCAACUGCAGACCUACUAUUAUUUUCAUGGAAGUUCCAGAAGAAGGGAGGAAUAUAAAGAGUUCCAAAUAUUCACAGGAGUCGACAUGGAGGAGGUUCUUAAACAUGUGUCAAAGAUGGCUGUCGAUGGAAAGAUGUGUUGCUAGAACCCUCUCCCAGUGGCCAGCAUUACAAGCUUACUUUAACAGCAGUGAUGACAAGGAAAAGCCUGGUCAUGUCAAACGAUGUGCUGAUGCCUAUGUAAGUGAAGAGAUGAAGCUCAUGUAUUACUUUCUCCAGUAUGCUCUCACAAAGUUGAAUAAGUUCAAUAUUCUCUUUCAGUCUCAUGACUGUCGUGUACUUGAGCUAGAGAAGGAAACAGAGGGUCUUUUGAAGGCUUACGUUCUGAACUUCAUGAAAGUGGAUGCUGUGAAUAUUGAUGACCUAUCAAAAGUAGAUUAUAAGUGUGAAGAACAGCAGAAAUCUGAUGAUCUCACCAUUGGCAUACAAGCUUCCAGAUACUUGGAAUCCAUCAGUGAGGACUGUGAUCCUGCGAUUAUUACCUGUUUCUAUAGGAGUGUAAGAGCUGCAUAUGUUGCUGCUGUGGAAAAGUUUUUAAAGAAGUUUCCCUUUGGAAACCCAAUAUUGAAGUCAGUAAGAAUUCUAAAUCCAUUACACAGGACUGAUGUGACAGAAAGAGAAGCAGGGAAGGAACGCACGUCUGGCCCAUUGACAGCGAGGAAAAGAAGGCUGUCAGUGUGGAUACAUUCAUUCUGUUGCGCUCAUCAAUAAGGAUGUGAUUCAUGGCGCUAAAUCCAUGUUCACACUCUGGAUAUUGUUAUUAUCUACAAUGUAUCUAUUUGCUGGGGACGUUCGUGAACAUCAAAGCUGCCACUUCGGGUCAUUUUGAAAGUGCUGGGACAGCAGGUAGUGGAUGAACAUGUUCCAGAUGUUUCUCUCAUUGGGGAGAUGGGGGAUGCGACAGAACUGGGUCGGCUGGUGCAGUUGGUGCUGGGCUGCACAGUCAGCUGCGAGAAGAAGCAAAGUACCCUGGGAGACCAGACAGCUGUCCACCUUGCAGUCCAAAGCAAUCACGAGGAGCAAACGUUCACAGAAAUGUAUUUUCUCUGAUGAGUUGAAGGUUAUAUAACAGCAGCUCUGACAGUGAUGCAGCUGCAAAUCACAGUGCUUGUUCUAACACACUAUCGUUACUAUAGAAACGGCUUUGGUAAAAUAAGGGUGGGUGGAUGGACAGGUGAUAAAGACUCUGGACCCUCAGCAGAA